rnacentral:rRNA from 1 species
AUUGAACGCUGGCGGCAGGCCUAACACAUGCACGUCGAGAGAGCGGCGGACGGGUGAGUAAUGUAGGGGGAUAUGCCCGAUAGAGGAGGAUCAAUACUGGAAAAGAUGGCUAAUACCGAAUACUCUCUGAGGAACACAUAUGGGAUUAGAUAGUAGGUGGGGUAAAGGCUCACCUAGGCGACGAUCGCUAGCUGGUAUGAGAGGAUGACCAGCAACACUGGGACCGAGACACGGCCCAGACUCCUACGGGAGGCAGCAGUGGGGAAUAUUGUACAAUGGGCGCAAGCCUGAUGCAGACAUGCCGCGUGUAUGAAGAAGGCCUUAGGGUUGUAAAGUACUUUCAGCGGGGAGGCGUUACCCGCAGAAGAAGCACCGGCUAACUCCGUGCCAGCAGCCGCGGUAAUAC